UGGAAGUAAAAGUCGUAACAAGGUCUCCGUUGGUGAACCAGCGGAGGGAUCAUUACCGAGUUUACAACUCCCAAACCCCUGUGAACAUACCACUUGUUGCCUCGGCGGAUCAGCCCGCUCCCGGUAAAACGGGACGGCCCGCCAGAGGACCCCUAAACUCUGUUUCUAUAUGUAACUUCUGAGUAAAACCAUAAAUAAAUCAAAACUUUCAACAACGGAUCUCUUGGUUCUGGCAUCGAUGAAGAACGCAGCAAAAUGCGAUAAGUAAUGUGAAUUGCAGAAUUCAGUGAAUCAUCGAAUCUUUGAACGCACAUUGCGCCCGCCAGUAUUCUGGCGGGCAUGCCUGUUCGAGCGUCAUUUCAACCCUCAAGCACAGCUUGGUGUUGGGACUCGCGUUAAUUCGCGUUCCUCAAAUUGAUUGGCGGUCACGUCGAGCUUCCAUAGCGUAGUAGUAAAACCCUCGUUACUGGUAAUCGUCGCGGCCACGCCGUUAAACCCCAACUUCUGAAUGUUGACCUCGGAUCAGGUAGGAAUACCCGCUGAACUUAAGCAUAUCAAUAAGCGGA
rnacentral:rRNA from 1 species